UUGACCUCAAAUCAGGUAGGACUACCCGCUGAACUUAAGCAUAUCAAUAAGCGGAGGAAAAGAAACUAACAAGGAUUCCCCUAGUAACUGCGAGUGAAGCGGGAAAAGCUCAAAUUUAAAAUCUGGUGGUCUUUGAUCAUCCGAGUUGUAAUCUAGAGAAGUGUUAUCCGCGCUGGACCGUGUACAAGUCUCCUGGAAUGGAGCGUCAUAGAGGGUGAGAAUCCCGUCUUUGACACGGACUGCCAGGGCUUUGUGAUGCGCUCUCAAAGAGUCGAGUUGUUUGGGAAUGCAGCUCAAAAUGGGUGGUAAAUUCCAUCUAAAGCUAAAUAUUGGCGAGAGACCGAUAGCGAACAAGUACCGUGAGGGAAAGAUGAAAAGAACUUUGGAAAGAGAGUUAAACAGUACGUGAAAUUGCUGAAAGGGAAACGCUUGAAGUCAGUCGCGUUGGCCGGGGAUCAACCUUGCUUUUGCUGGGCGUACUUUCCGGUUGACGGGUCAGCAUCAAUUUUGACCGUUGGAUAAAGUUCARGGGAAUGUGGCAUCUUCGGAUGUGUUAUAGCCUUUGUUCGCAUACAACGGUUGGGAUUGAGGAACUCAGCACGCCGCAAGGCCGGGUAUUUAUACUACGUUCGUGCUUAGGAUG
rnacentral:rRNA from 1 species